AAGGUCUUCGGAAUUCGUAAAGGCAACUUUUGGCUAGGGACGAGUGAUGACGGUACCUGCAGAAUAAGCCCCGGCUAACUUCGUGC
rnacentral:rRNA from 1 species